rnacentral:rRNA from 1 species
GACGAACGCUGGCGGCGUGCUUAACACAUGCAAGUCGAACGAAGUGGCGAACGGGUGAGUAACGCGUAAUCAACCUGCCCUUCAGAGGGGGACAACAGUUGGAAACGACUGCUAAUACCGCAUACUGAAGGAGGGGAUUGCGUCUGAUUAGCUAGUUGGAGGGGUAACGGCCAACCAAGGCGAGUAUCAGUAGCCGGUCUGAGGGGAUGAACGGCCAAAUUGGGAAUUGUACACGGCCCAGACCCCUACGGGAGGCCGCAGUGGGGAAUCUUCCGCAAUGGGCGAAAGUCUGACGGAGCAACGCCGCGGGAGGGAUGACGGCCUUCGGGUUGUAAAGCUUUGUUAAUCGGGACGCGGUACCGGAAUAGAAAGCCACGGCUAACUACGUGCCAGCCGCCGCGGUAAUUC